rnacentral:rRNA from 1 species
AGAGUUUGAUCCUGGCUCAGAGCGAACGUUAUGCGGCGGGCUUAACACAUGCAAGUCGUACGAGAAAGCUCCUUCGGGAGUGAGUAAAGUGGCGCACGGGUGAGUAACGCGUAGGUAAUCACCCCUCCUGCGGGGGACAACACUCCGAAAGGAAUGCUAAUACCGCAUACGACCACAGCUAUUACGGUAGCAGUGGUGAAAGGUGGCCUCUUCUUGAAAGCUACCACUGGAGGACGAGCCUGCGUCCCAUCAGCCUGUUGGUGAGGUAACGGCUUACCAAAGCGAAGACGGGUAGCUGGUCUGAGAGGACAAUCAGCCACACUGGUACUGGAACACGGACCAGACUCCUUACGGGAGGCAUCAGUGAGGAAUAUUGGGCAAUGGGCGCAAGCCUGACCCAGCCACAGCCGCGUGAGUGAUGAAAGGCCUUCGGGUCGUAAAGCUCUGUGGGGAGAGACGAAAAACUCUAGUUCGAAUAGGGCUAGGGCUUGACGGUACCUCCUUAGCAAGCACCGGCUAACUCUGUGCCAGCAGCCGCGGUAAUACAGAGGGUGCAAACGUUGCUCGGAUUUACUGGGCGUAAAGCGUGUGUAGGCUGGCUUGCAAGUCGGUUGUGAAAUCCCUGGGCUCAACCCAGGAACUGCAUCCGAAACUGCGUGUCUUGAGUAGUAGAGAGGGUGGCGGAGUUCCCGGUGUAGAGGUGAAAUUCGUAGAUAUCGGGGGGAACAUCAGUGGCGAAGGCGGCCACCUGGAUACUUACUGACGCUGAGACACGAAAGCGUGGGGAGCAAACAGGAUUAGAUACCCUGGUAGUCCACGCCGUAAACGUUGAGCACUAGGUGUCGUGGAUAUUGACUUCUGCGGUGCCGUAGCUAACGCGUUAAGUGCUCCGCCUGGGGAGUACGGCCGCAAGGCUAAAACUCAAAGGAAUUGACGGGGGCCCGCACAAGCGGU